UACAGAGGGGGCAAGCGUUGUUCGGAAUUACUGGGCGUAAAGGGCGCGUAGGCGGCCUUCUAAGUCGAACGUGAAAUCCCCGGGCUCAACCCGGGAACUGCGUCCGAGACUGGAAGGCUCGAAUCCGGGAGAGGGAUGUGGAAUUCCAGGUGUAGCGGUGAAAUGCGUAGAUAUCUGGAGGAACAUCGGUGGCGAAGGCGGCAUCCUGGACCGGUAUUGACGCUGAGGUGCGAAAGCGUGGGGAGCAAACAGG
rnacentral:rRNA from 1 species